rnacentral:rRNA from 1 species
UACGAAGGGGGCUAGCGUUGCUCGGAAUCACUGGGCGUAAAGGGUGCGUAGGCGGGUCUUUAAGUCAGGGGUGAAAUCCUGGAGCUCAACUCCAGAACUGCCUUUGAUACUGAGGAUCUUGAGUUCGGGAGAGGUGAGUGGAACUGCGAGUGUAGAGGUGAAAUUCGUAGAUAUUCGCAAGAACACCAGUGGCGAAGGCGGCUCACUGGCCCGGUACUGACGCUGAGGUGCGAAAGCGUGGAGAGCAAACAGG